CAAGUCGAGCGGAAGGCCCUUCGGGGUACUCGAGCGGCGAACGGGUGAGUAACACGUGAGUAACCUGCCCCUGACUCUGGGAUAAGCCCGGGAAACUGGGUCUAAUACCGGAUAUGACACCUCCUGGCAUCGGGUGGGUGUGGAAAGUUUUUUCGGUUGGGGAUGGACUCGCGGCCUAUCAGCUUGUUGGUGGGGUAAUGGCCUACCAAGGCGACGACGGGUAGCCGGCCUGAGAGGGCGACCGGCCACACUGGGACUGAGACACGGCCCAGACUCCUACGGGAGGCAGCAGUGGGGAAUAUUGCGCAAUGGGCGAAAGCCUGACGCAGCGACGCCGCGUGGGGGAUGACGGCCUUCGGGUUGUAAACCUCUUUCAGCAGGGACGAAGUUGACGUGUACCUGCAGAAGAAGCGCCGGCUAACUACGUGCCAGCAGCCGCGGUAAUACGUAGGGCGCAAGCGUUGUCCGGAAUUAUUGGGCGUAAAGAGCUCGUAGGUGGCUUGUCACGUCGGGUGUGAAAGCUUGGGGCUUAACUCCAGGUCUGCAUUCGAUACGGGCUGGCUAGAGGUAGGUAGGGGAGAACGGAAUUCCUGGUGUAGCGGUGAAAUGCGCAGAUAUCAGGAGGAACACCGGUGGCGAAGGCGGUUCUCUGGGCCUUACCUGACGCUGAGGAGCGAAAGCGUGGGGAGCGAACAGGAUUAGAUACCCUGGUAGUCCACGCUGUAAACGUUGGGCGCUAGGUGUGGGGACCUUCCACGGUUUCCGCGCCGUAGCUAA
rnacentral:rRNA from 1 species